GACGUAGGGUGCGAGCGUUGUCCGGAAUUAUUGGGCGUAAAGGGCUCGUAGGCGAUUUGUCGCGUCGGGAGUGAAAACACCGGGCUUAACUCGGUGCUUGCUUUCGAUACGGGCAGACUAGAGGUAUGCAGGGGAGAACGGAAUUCCUGGUGUAGCGGUGAAAUGCGCAGAUAUCAGGAGGAACACCGGUGGCGAAGGCGGUUCUCUGGGCAUUACCUGACGCUGAGGAGCGAAAGUGUGGGGAGCGAACAGG
rnacentral:rRNA from 1 species